rnacentral:rRNA from 1 species
CCCGCUGAACUUAAGCAUAUCAAUAAGCGGAGGAAAAGAAACUAACAAGGAUUCCCCUAGUAACUGCGAGUGAAGCGGGAAAAGCUCAAAUUUAAAAUCUGGCGGUCUUUGGCCGUCCGAGUUGUAAUUUAGAGAAGCGUCUUCCGCGCUGGACCGUGCACAAGUCUCCUGGAAUGGAGCGUCAUAGAGGGUGAGAAUCCCGUCUUUGGCACGGAUGCCCGGUGCUUCUGUGAUGCGCUCUCGAAGAGUCGAGUUGUUUGGGAAUGCAGCUCAAAAUGGGUGGUGAACUCCAUCUAAAGCUAAAUAUUGGCGAGAGACCGAUAGCGAACAAGUACCGUGAGGGAAAGAUGAAAAGCACUUUGGAAAGAGAGUGAAACAGUACGUGAAAUUGUUGAAAGGGAAACGCUUGAAGUCAGUCGUGCCCUUCGGGAUUCAGCCUUGCUUCUGCUUGGUUUACUUCCUGUUGGGUGGGUCAACGUCAGUUUCGAUCGGAGGAGAAAGGCUUGGGGAAGGUGGCAGCAUUCGUGCUGUGUUAUAGCCCCUUGUUGUAUACUUCGAUUGGGACUGAGGACCGCAGCGCGCCUUUACGGCCGGGGUUCGCCCACGUACGCGCUUAGGAUGUUGGCAUAAUGGCUUUAAGCGACCCGUCUUGAAACACGG